rnacentral:rRNA from 1 species
CCCUUAGAUGUUCGGGGCCGCACGCGCGCUACACUGAAGGAAUCAGCACGUCUUUCUCCUUGUCCGAAAGGACUGGGUAACCCGCUGAACCUCCUUCGUGCUAGGGAUUGGGGCUUGUAAUUCUUCCCCAUGAACGAGGAAUUCCCAGUAAGCGCGAGUCAUAAGCUCGCGUUGAUUACGUCCCUGCCCUUUGUACACACCGCCCGUCGCUACUACCGAUUGGAUGGUUUAGUGAGAUCCUCGGAUUGGUCCCGGCGCGGCCUCUGGUCGUGCCGGAGUGCCGUAAAGAAUGUCGAACUUGAUCAUCUAGAGGAAGUAAAAGUCGUAACA